GACAGAGGAGCCAAGCGUUGUCCGGACUGACUGGGCGUAAAGCGCCCGCAGGCGGCCGUGCGCGUGGGGUGUGAAAGCUCGCGGCUUAACUGCGAGAGGCCAUCCCAUACGGCACGGCUCGAGCCGUCCAGAGGCCGGUGGAAUUGCCGGUGUAGUGGUGAAAUGCGUAGAGAUCGGCAGGAACACCCAGGGGGAAACCAGCCGGCUGGGGACAUGCUGACGCUCAGGGGCGAAAGCGUGGGGAGCGAACCGG
rnacentral:rRNA from 1 species